rnacentral:rRNA from 1 species
GAUGAACGCUGGCGGCGUGCCUAAUACAUGCAAGUCGAGCGAACAGACGAGGAGCUUGCUCCUCUGACGUUAGCGGCGGACGGGUGAGUAACACGUGGAUAACCUACCUAUAAGACUGGGAUAACUUCGGGAAACCGGAGCUAAUACCGGAUAAUAUAUUGAACCGCAUGGUUCAAUAGUGAAAGACGGUUUUGCUGUCACUUAUAGAUGGAUCCGCGCCGCAUUAGCUAGUUGGUAAGGUAACGGCUUACCAAGGCAACGAUGCGUAGCCGACCUGAGAGGGUGAUCGGCCACACUGGAACUGAGACACGGUCCAGACUCCUACGGGAGGCAGCAGUAGGGAAUCUUCCGCAAUGGGCGGAAGCUUGACGGAGCAACGCCGCGUGAGUGAUGAGGGUCUUCGGAUCGUAAAACUCUGUUAUUAGGGAAGAACAAAUGUGUAAGUAACUAUGCACGUCUUGACGGUACCUAAUCAGAAAGCCACGGCUAACUACGUG